rnacentral:rRNA from 1 species
AUACGGAGGGUGCAAACGUUGUUCGGAAUUAUUGGGCGUAAAGGGCGCGCAGGCGGCCAGGUAAGUCUGGUGUGAAAUCCCAUCUCUCAAGGAUGGAAUGGCGCUGGAAACUGCUUGGCUCGAGUGCCGGAGAGGGUAGCGGAAUUCCCGGUGAAGAGGUGAGAUUCGUAGAUAUCGGGAGGAACAUCGGUGGCGAAGGCGGCUACCUGGACGGUUACUGACGCUGAGGCGCGAAAGCGUGGGGAGCAAACAGGAUUAGAAACCCCAGUAGUCC